UGGGGAAUAUUGCACAAUGGGCGAAAGCCUGAUGCAGCGACGCCGCGUGAGGGAUGACGGCCUUCGGGUUGUAAACCUCUUUCGACAGGGACGAAGCGCAAGUGACGGUACCUGUAGAAGAAGCACCGGCCAACUACGUGCCAGCAGCCGCGGUAAUACGUAGGGUGCGAGCGUUGUCCGGAAUUACUGGGCGUAAAGAGCUUGUAGGCGGUUUGUCGCGUCGUCUGUGAAAACUCACAGCUCAACUGUGAGCUUGCAGGCGAUACGGGCAGACUUGAGUACUGCAGGGGAGACUGGAAUUCCUGGUGUAGCGGUGAAAUGCGCAGAUAUCAGGAGGAACACCGGUGGCGAAGGCGGGUCUCUGGGCAGUAACUGACGCUGAGAAGCGAAAGCGUGGGUAGCGAACAGGAUUAGAUACCCUGGUAGUCCACGCCGUAAACGGUGGGUACUAGGUGUGGGUUUCCUUCCACGGGAUCCGUGCCGUAGCUAACGCAUUAAGUACCCCGCCUGGGGAGUACGGCCGCAAGGCU
rnacentral:rRNA from 1 species